rnacentral:tRNA from 1 species
GGCUCGUUGGUCUAGCGGUAUGAUUCUCACUCUGGGUGCGAGAGGUCCCGGGUUCAAAUCCCGGACGAGCCC